UCAGCAAGACGGGCACUGCUGUCCAGA
rnacentral:piRNA from 1 species